rnacentral:rRNA from 1 species
GACGAACGCUGGCGGCGUGCUUAACACAUGCAAGUCGAGCGGAAAGGCCCUGCUUGCAGGGUACUCGAGUGGCGAACGGGUGAGUAACACGUGGGUGAUCUGCCCUGCACUUCGGGAUAAGCCUGGGAAACUGGGUCUAAUACCGGAUAGGAGCCAUUUUUAGUGUGAUGGUUGGAAAGUUUUUUCGGUGUAGGAUGAGCUCGCGGCCUAUCAGCUUGUUGGUGGGGUAAUGGCCUACCAAGGCGGCGACGGGUAGCCGGCCUGAGAGGGUGGACGGCCACAUUGGGACUGAGAUACGGCCCAGACUCCUACGGGAGGCAGCAGUGGGGAAUAUUGCACAAUGGGCGCAAGCCUGAUGCAGCGACGCCGCGUGGGGGAUGACGGCCUUCGGGUUGUAAACUCCUUUCGCUAGGGACGAAGCUUUUUGUGACGGUACCUAGAGAAGAAGCACCGGCUAACUACGUG